CCUCGGGCAUUUGCUGGGGACAAAUCCAAUGAAUAUGCGUGUCAAUGCCACCCGCUGUCAAGAUCAAAGUUUCACCGGCAAUCACGUCGGUAGUGACUCCAAUAAUCAUGCCUGGAUUUACGCCAUCCAUCAUAUCUGGGUUACCAGCUUUGCCGAUUCCCACAAUGCGAUUGCCUUUGAUCCCCACAUCGGCCUUAAUGAUACCCGUGACCGCAUCAACGAUCAGAGCAUUUGUAAUCACAACGUCGAGUGCCUCCUCAGCGGUCGCAGUAGUCGACUGACCCAUUCCUUCGCGCAAUG
rfam:Fistulifera solaris DNA, contig: scaffold00008, strain: JPCC DA0580.